AAAGUUACUUCGGUACAUCGGUGACAGGUGGUGCAUGGUUGUCGUCAGCUCGUGUCGUGAGAUGUUGGGUUAAGUCCCGCAACGAGCGCAACCCCUAUUGUUAGUUGCCAUCAUUCAGUUGGGCACUCUAGCGAGACUGCCGGUAAUAAACCGGAGGAAGGUGGGGAUGACGUCAAAUCACCAUGCCCCUUAUGACCUGGGCUACACACGUGCUACAAUGGUUGGUACAACGAGUUGCGAGUCGGUGACGGCGAGCUAAUCUCUUAAAGCCAAUCUCAGUUCGGAUUGUAGGCUGCAACUCGCCUACAUGAAGUCGGAAUCGCUAGUAAUCGCGGAUCAGCACGCCGCGGUGAAUACGUUCCCGGGCCUU
rnacentral:rRNA from 1 species